GAUGAACUCUUGCGGCGUGCCUAAUACAUGCAAGUCGAACGCGAGCAGCAAUGCUCGAGCGGCGAACGGGUGAGUAAUACAUAAGUAACCUGCCCUAGACAGGGGGAUAACUGCUGGAAACGGCAGCUAAGACUGCAUAGGUAUGGACACUGCAAUGGUGACCAUAUUAAAAGUGCCAAGGCACUGGUAGAGGAUGGACUUAUGGCGCAUUAGCUGGUUGGUGAGGUAACGGCUCACCAAGGCGACGAUGCGUAGCCGACCUGAGAGGGUGACCGGCCACACUGGGACUGAGACACGGCCCAGACUCCUACGGGAGGCAGCAGUAGGGAAUUUUCGGCAAUGGGGGGAACCCUGACCGAGCAACGCCGCGUGAAGGAAGAAGGAAUUCGUUCUGUAAACUUCUGUUAUAAAGGAAGAACGGCGGAUAUAGGGAAUGAUAUCCGAGUGACGGUACUUUAUGAGAAAGCCACGGCUAACUACGUGCCAGCAGCCGCGGUAAUACGUAGGUGGCGAGCGUUAUCCGGAAUUAUUGGGCGUAAAGAGGGAGCAGGCGGCGGCAGAGGUCUGUGGUGAAAGACUGAAGCUUAACUUCAGUAAGCCAUAGAAACCGGGCUGCUAGAGUGCAGGAGAGGAUCGUGGAAUUCCAUGUGUAGCGGUGAAAUGCGUAGAUAUAUGGAAGAACACCAGUGGGGAAAGGCGACGGUCUGGCCUGUAACUGACGCUCAUUCCCGAAAGCGUGGGGAGCAAAUAGGAUUAGAUACCCUAGUAGUCCACGCCGUAAACGAUGAGUACUAAGUGUUGGGAGUCAAAUUUCAGUGCUGCAGUUAACGCAAUAAGUACUCCGCCUGAGUAGUACGUUCGCAAGAAUGAAACUCAAAGGAAUUGACGGGGGCCCGCACAAGCGGUGGAGCAUGUGGUUUAAUUCGAAGCAACGCGAAGAACCUUACCAGGUCUUGACAUCCGGAUAAAGACCUCAGAGAUGAGGGGAUAGAUAUAUCCGAGACAGGUGGUGCAUGGUUGUCGUCAGCUCGUGUCGUGAGAUGUUGGGUUAAGUCCCGCAACGAGCGCAACCCUUGUCGCUAGUUACCAUCAUUAAGUUGGGGACUCUAGCGAGACUGCCAGUGACAAGCUGGAGGAAGGCGGGGAUGACGUCAAAUCAUCAUGCCCCUUAUGACCUGGGCUACACACGUGCUACAAUGGAUGGAGCAGAGGGAAGCGAAGCCGCGAGGUGAAGCAAAACCCAUAAAACCAUUCUCAGUUCGGAUUGUAGUCUGCAACUCGACUACAUGAAGUUGGAAUCGCUGGUAAUCGCGAAUCAGCAUGUCGCGGUGAAUACGUUCUCGGGCCUUGCACA
rnacentral:rRNA from 1 species